rnacentral:tRNA from 1 species
GCUGUGAUGGCCGAGUGGUUAAGGCGUUGGACUUGAAAUCCAAUGGGGUCUACCCGCGCAGUUUCGAACCCUGCUCGCAGCG